rnacentral:lncRNA from 1 species
CUGGUAAAUUUCGUUUCAUCAAUACCUUUUUUUUUUUUUUUUUUUUUUUUUUUUUUUUUUUUUUUUGUUUCAUCAAUACCUUCCGCUUCAAAAUUAAUAAUAUUGAUUACGAAAUAUUAUUAACUAAUGUAAAAAACGAAACUAUAAUACGUAACUGUUUUCGGAAACAAAAAGAGUUUACGUCAUCAAACAGAAAAUCUUUACCUCAAUUUUUCUUUUGGCCCCGAUGUUUUUGCACCAGCCGUUUCCUAGGAACGACAUUUCCACUAUUGCGUACUGUUUUGUUUUUUCUUUUGACUUCAUCACUUCAACGUAUAUUUGCAUGUGCCUAUAGAAUUUAGAUAUAAAUAACAUUUCAUAAUGAUACAAAAAAAAA